rnacentral:rRNA from 1 species
CCUACGGGUGGCAGCAGUGAGGAAUAUUGGUCAAUGGGCGCGAGCCUGAACCAGCCAAGUCGCGUGAAGGAAGACGGCCCUAUGGAUUGUAAACUUCUUUUGUCGGGGAACAAAAGGCUCCACGUGUGGCGUUUCGUGAGUACCAGAAGAAAAAGCAUCGGCUAACUCCGUGCCAGCAGCCGCGGUAAUACGGAGGAUGCGAGCGUUAUCCGGAUUUAUUGGGUGUAAAGGGUGCGUAGGUGGAAAGAUAAGUCAGUGGUGAAAGUGUGGGGCUCAAACGUAUAGGAGCCGUUGAAACUGGCUGUCUUGAGUACGGGAGAGGUAGGCGGAAUUCGUGGUGUAGCGGUGAAAUGCAUAGAUAUCACGAAGAACUCCGAUGGCGAAGGCAGCAUACUGG